CGGGCCCCGGCCUCAGGGCCACUCACGCCGGGCCCGUCAGCAGCAGUCCCAGCCCGCCGCGGCUCGGCACUGGCCUCCCACUUCAAGCACAGGUGGCUCGCAGCGAGCUCAACGUUCGUCUGCCCAGAGGGUUUGAGCGCCGCCCCCUGAAGCACCCGACUUGCGCCGAGGGAACAGAGGGAGACAGCGGCUCUCCGCAGCCCCCCCGCACAAGCACCGUCCCUGCUUUAGUGCCAAAGCCACCCACCUACCCACUGGUCAGGCUGGUGGGCAAGUUCUACACCCUAAAGUGCCGGUUCUGUGAGGUAGAGUUCCACGGUCCACUAUCUGUGCAAGAGGACUGGAUCCGACACCUCCAGCAACACAUCCUCAAGAUGAGCUACAACAAGCCCGCCGAACCCAAAGCGGCGUCGGCCGAAUCUGGCGAGCCGACCCUGGUCCACCGGGCCCUGGCCUCGCGGCCCGCCCCCGGCACGUCCGCCGUGCCCCCCUCCGCCGCUCCGAACUCCCCUGCGGCCCCAGCAGAACUUGCUCGGGAGAUAGUCCCAUCCCAUCCCAUCCCCCUCCCUGCCCAGGUGAUGUGAUCGUGUUUUCACUUUCUUUUGCUUUGCUUUAUUCCGAGGGGCAACGCUCCUCUUCCACCUUUCGGUCAAGGCCCAGGAGCCUUGUGAGCACCUUUCUGGAGCAGCUGUUUAGACUGUUACCAUGGGGACCAAGUUCUCCGGGCUUAAGUGUGAUCACAGGAGAGAUAAGCUAAUCUUAUGCCUUGUUUAUUUUGAAUGUCCAGUUGACAUUGCUGUACCCCACCAGGUCACCCAGGCAACGGGGUGUUGCCCGGGUGACCUAAAGGUUUAACGGCCCCCCUUUUUUCCCGGUUUUGGCUCUCACUGAUCCGACCCAUUUCUACCAGCACUCUCUAAAAGACAAGGGGUGUCCAAACUUCUCCAAAAAUGUUUGGAUACGGGGGCCACUUUGAUACAUUUUGCAAGUGAAAGAGGCUAAAACCAAUCCGAUGUACAGCUAGUCAAUACAGUAGUUAUUCGGUACCACAGUGGUAUUUGGACUAGUUUGAGACGGCAUUCGAAAACUUUUGGUUAAAUUGUAAAAUUGAAUCGUACAAAAGUAGGGAUGGGUAUCAAAUUUAGGACUUUUAUAGGUACCAACCGAAACUACUUGGAUGCCAAUUGACGUCAAAUCAAAUAUUGCCAUAUAUUUCUUGCAUGUCACGUCCAGUUGCAAACUGGGCACCGGCUCAAGCAUUUAGCCGGGAAACAAGCAGUCAAAGCCAAACUGUCACUAGGUAAUGUUUUCAUUCUGCACACCAACAAAGCCAGAAGAAGGCGGUCAAAAGUACUGUAUGGCUCUACUUUUCAAAAUGUGCCAGCUCGAUGCAAAUUUAUAUUCGAUUUGCCCUACAAAUGCUAAAGAUUAGCAUUAGCGAUUUUACAUGGCACCUCCAAAUUUGGUAAACAAAACUACAACUAAGAUGCACGUUACAAUCAAACAAUCCACUUAAUGGCAAAGACUACUUCCUGGCUAAGGCAACACGACGUAGCCCUCAAGCUCUUAACCUUUUUGGCCUCGUGGCCCAACUUUUCCACUUCAGACGGGCCCCGGGUCCCACUCAAAGAUUAACACUGAAUUUGUAAUCUUGCUCUUGAUUUUACUCAUAUUCAAUAAUUAUAUCUUACCUACUUACAGUUUACAACCUUGUCAAAUGAUAUACAAUGUUUAUUAUUUUUCAAGGCUUAGGUCAGGCUGAUUACCAAAAUAUAUUCUAAUCAAAUAUACUGCAAAAGAAGGGAUUCAUAAAAAAUUAUGAAAGAUACAUUUACAUAUUCAUUGAAAUGCAUUACAAUUAUUUAAUCCAAUUUUUUUAUACAAUUUACACAUUACGUUGUGCUAAAAUAAAUAAAUGUUUAAUAAAAUACUAAUUUAAAAAAUCCCGAUAAGUUUCUGAAAUAAACUGUCAAUAAAAUUUAAGUGCAAAUUAAAAAAUACAGUUUCACCAAUUUAGUCAUAAUUUUUGCGCUGAAGAACUUCAGCUUUAAGACUUCUUCUGUCUGUCUGACAUUGUCAUUGCUGCCACAAGUGGCACAAAAGUGUAUUACAAUUUAAUACAGCUGAGAAACAGAUAUUUCUUGGCGGUUAAGGAACACUGCCGUAGCCUAUACACUGCUGCCGCUGCAUGCAAAGUCAAAUAUAUAAUACUUGCAAAUGAGACACAGAAGUGUAAGAAAACAAGAAAACUGGACAGUACAGCUCAGUGUUAAAGACAUUUUUAUUUUUAUUUUUUUAAACACACAAAAGUACCAAAAAUUGGCACCAGUAUGGAGUUAAAUGUGAAAGGUACCCAUCCCUAUGUGAAAGUAAGAUGUACAAAAACUCUAUAUGCUUAGCUAUGUAUGUGAACAAAACAUCCACCUUUUUGAUGUGUAAUAGGUGACAAAGAUAGUAGUGUCAUUUUUAAUGAUACCUCUCAUUAAUAAUGACUUCAUUACAUGUUUUAGAUUUUGCCGACGAUUAAUGAAACAUUAGAUCCAGGCCAAAAGUGGCCCCCGGGCAGCACCUUGGACACCCCCGCUGUAAGAGAAUGCCGGCAGCACCGCAGCAGGCACAAGACAUUGAAACAACGUUGAGAACUAGUUGAAUUAGGUCCUGAUGUUAAGCGACUCAAACAUAACGUUGGAACAUGAUUUUUGACGACUUUUAAUCAAUGUCAGGUUGUGACGUUGAUUUAACAUAAAAUUUUGGUCAUUUUCCAACCAAUAUUCUACAACACAAAUACAACGUUGACACAACGUGCUUUUUGACGUUUAAUCAAUGUUGGGGUCUGACGUUGAUUUGACCAUUGAAAUUGAGUAAUUUCCCAACCAAUAUUCUACAACACAAAUACAACGUUGAAACAACAUGCUUUUUGACAACGUUUAAUCGAUGUUGGCUUCUGACGUUGAUUGGACCAUUGAAAUUUGGUCAUUUUCCAACCGAUAUUCUUUUACAACACAAAUACAACGUUGAAACAACAUGCUUUUUGACAACGUUUAAUCAAUGUUGGGUUCUGGCGUUGAUUUGACCAUUGAAAUUGAGUAAUUUCCCAACCAAUAUUCUACAACACAAAUACAACGUUGAAACAACAUGCUUUUUGACAACGUUUAUUUAAUGUUGGGUUCUGGCGUUGAUUUGACCAUUUAAUGUGGUCAUUUUUCAACCAAUAUUCAACAACACAAAUACAACGUUGAAACAACAUGCUUUUUGACGAUGUUUAUUCAAUGUCAGGUUGUGACGUUGAUUUAACAUUACAUUUUGGUCAUUUUCCAACCAAUAUUCUGCAACGCAAAUACAACACUGAAACAACAUGCUUUUUGACAACGUUUAAUCAAUGUUGGGUUCUGACAUUGAUUUGACCAUUGAAAUUUGGUCAUUUCCUAACCAAUAUUCUACAACACAAAUACAACGUUGAAACAACAUGCUUUUUGACGUUUAAUCAAUGUUGGUUCUGAUGUUGAUUUGACCAUUGAAAGUGAGUAAUUUCCCAACCAAUAUUCAACAACACAAAUACAACGUUGAAACAACAUGCUUUUUGACGACGUUUAUUCAAUGUCAGGUUGUGACGUUGAUUUAACAUUACAUUUUGGUAAUUUUCCAACCAAUAUUCAACAACACAACAAAUACAAUGUUGAAACAACAUGCUUUUUGACCACAUUUAAUCAAUGUUGGGUUCUGACGUUGAUUGGACCAUUGAAAUUUGGUCAUUUUCCAACCGAUAUUCUUUUACAACACAAAUACAACGUUGAAACAACAUGCUUUUUGACAACGUUUAUUCAAUGUUGGCAUCUGGCGUUGAUUUGAUAAUUUAAUGUGGUAAUUUUUCAACCAAUAUUCAACAACACAAAUACAACGUUGAAACAACAUGCUUUUUGAUGACGUUUAUUCAAUGUCAGGUUGUGACGUUGAUUUAACAUUACAUUUUGGUCAAUUUCCAACCAAUAUUCUGCAACACAAAUACAACACUGAAACAACAUGCUUUUUGACAACGUUUAAUCAAUGUUGGGUUCUGACGUUGAUUUGACCAUUGAAAUUUGGUCAUUUCCUAACCAAUAUUCAACAACACAAAUACAACGUUGCAACGACAUGCUUUUUGACGACGUUUAAUCAAUGUUGGGUUCUGAUGUUGAUUUGAACAUUGAAUUUUAGUCAAUUCCCAACCAACAAUGUGGAUCCAACGUUAGACAUCAAUGUUGUCUCAAUUUACAAAUACCGGUACAACUAUUUUGCAACGUUGUUUAGAAGUCCGUUUUAAAAGGACAUGUACGUAUAAUCAACGUUGUUUCAAUGUCUUGUGCCUGCUGGUACCAGUCCCACACAAAUGUCCUGACUGAAAUAUGAGAUUUCGAACUCCAGCCAGUCUCGCGAUGGCUACUUUAAAACGCAUUUUUUAACACUUUGUGUUAAACAAACAUGGCACUUUUUCGACAUCGACACUGAGCACUUAACUAAAGAAAGAAAACAUUUGUCACUUUUUUUUUUUUAGAAGGAGCAAGAAGUGGAAGCACACCCCAAAAAAAGGGAAAUUAACUUCCUGUCAAACUGACCCCAAAUACAGGUGGUCCUCGGCAUGUGAAAUAGUUCCCCUCCUGCGACGCGUUUAAAGUCGAAUUUUAGUGAAAGAGGGAAUUCAUACCGAAAGAGAACUUAACACAUAAAAUACAGUCAUAAAAAGUCUAAAUACAGUACAAUAAUUAAAUAAAACUAAUAAAAAGAGAGAGCUGUCCAUCUCCAUCGCUUGCUUACUGUCUCUUUCAUGGACGCACAUAUUUCAACAUGCUCAAGAAGGCCAUUUUAUCCUUAAUGAUGGUCGCCGCGGUUGAGACCAAAAGUGCAGCCAACAUAGGUAGACACUUCUCCCUCUCUCUCCAGCUUUCUAUGGUAAUGGCUUUCCUUUUCUUUGGUGCACUGCCCCAGAGGAGCCUGCCUUACACGUGGGAGACGUAACAAAGUGCAAAACAUUAACUAGUAUAUACAAACCCCGUUUCCAUUUGAGUUGGUAAAUUGUGUUAGAUGUAAAUAUAAACGGAAUACAAUGAUUUGCAAAUCUUUUUCAACCCAUAUUC